GUUGACAGGGUAAGGCACAGUCUUGUUCUUAGACAACUGAAGCCAGUACAAAGCACACACUGGGGUACUUGUCCUCAGGGAUAGUGCAGAGCAUAGAUAUUGGAGCAGAGGCACAGUAUUGGAGCCAGCCAAUGGUCUGCCUCAGGGGCAGGGGGCAGGGAGGUGCUGAUGCCGAAUCUCUUCCCCUCUACCACCUGAGGGCAGACCUGGAUGAAGAACCCAGGUCUGAGGUGGGGAGGAACCAGGUAGAGCAUGGCAGAUUGCCCUGACCAAGACGCCUCUGCAGGCCUGACAUGUCCAACCAAGUGGUGAAGGGGGCCGGCAAGGAGAGUGCAUUCCUUCUGUUGGUAUGAUAACAGGCACAGUUAUACUGACUGUGUUCUAGCUGACCACCUCAGCAAUUGCUUUCUCUCCUGUCGUGACAUAGAAAGAGCUUUGCACCGCGCAUCGUGGAACUCGGGUUUGGACCUGGUUCUGCCAGGUCCAUGUGACCUUGAGCACAUCCAUCCUCUUCUCUGAUCUUCAUUUUCCUGCUCUGCGUGAUGAUGGAUGAAGGCUAGCAGGUCUCUGAAGCCCUUCCACCUCUAAGUCUGAGAUUCCAAGAAUUGGAGAAGGCAGCUAGUCUAACUCCUACUUCCGCCUCGGCCCUGCUUCUCUCCCCACACGGUUCUUCUCCAUGUGCCUAUCUUACCCAGGACUGUGAAUACUAAUGAUAUGUAGGGACCCUCGGGCCAUUCUGAUCAUUUGAACCUGAAAUCCUCAGAGAGCUUUUUGUUCUAAUAAAAAGGCAUAAUAUUGGUGAUAUGACACCCCCUACAUCAAAUUCAGUCUUAUUAAGGAAACCUGAGAACUCAGACCUGCAGUGUGGCCCGAUAAUUUACAAUUCUGCCGGGAUUAGUAUGAGGAAUAAUUAUAUCUAUUUAUUUAUUCCACUGUCAGAACGUUGAUGCCGGGUUUUCAUAUUGUCUUUGUCACUAAAGAUUAUAAUUAAAUAAUAUGUCAAAUAUAUUGAUCAUUUUCUUAUAAAUUUGCUUGAUAUGCUGUAGAGGCCUUUGUUGUUACAGUAUAUCACAGGAUUAAAUUCAAAAGUUUGCCAGGCCAUCUAGGUCUGUUUAAGAGCUCUUUUUUUUUUUUUUUCUUAAUAAACCACAAAUUUUUGAUGGCUUGUCAUUUUGACAUUGACUAAAGUAAUUUCUUCUUCCUCUCUAGUGCAGUGCUGUCUCUCUUUUAGCCUUUAGUCAGACUAAAUAGUUAUAAUUCCAUUAAAACGAAAAGUAGUCUGUAUCUUUGAAGGUAGGUUUUAAAUGUCUUUUUCUGCAUGAACUCAGAGUUUUCAGAGAACAGGUUAUUUUUUAUAUACAUUUAUUAUGAGAUAUUUUCCAAAUAUGUCUUUAUAAUUUUUCUAGCUUUCAGUUGCAUUCUUCAGUUCAAUAUAGAAGUAGCAAAUAAACAUCCACUUAUUAGCCAACUGCUAUAUCUCUAACAGUACUGGACAUGAGACUCAGUCCAAGUGAGGGAGAUGAGAUGUAAUAUGAUGAUAAGUAGGCAAGGUGGGAGUUGAGAGAAGAGACGUGUCUCUGGAUUGGAUUACGAGAACAGGUAUGGCAAUAAACGUAUGUACAGAACUCUCCCAGGAUUCCAGAGGCCAAAGAUGGCAGUAGUAGGGACAGGAAAUGGGAGGCAGGCGGGAAAACCUUUGUGAUACACGAGGCACACUUAUGACUCUGAUAUUUGCCUAUCUAGAAUUCUGAAAUGCUUGUUAAGUUCUUGUUAUACUAAAGCUGUCCAUUACUUUAAAUCCAAGGCCCUGGAUGUUUGCCAAAAGAAGGAAAAACCAAGGCACUUUCUAUGUGGUGGGCCAGGAAAAACAACUGGCCACUUUUGUAUAUCUGUACUUUGCUUUAUAGGCCUUGAGAAACAAUUAGCAAAUGAAAUUUAAAAGUUUAUGUAAUAUAUUUAUGAUGUCUGCACAGGGAAAUUUCAGACACAGUGAACUGUAAAGAAAAAGGGGGGGGGAUAAAUUGAGAAAAGAAGAUGUACCUGUAACUGCUAUUUAUUGAUCUCUUAUUAUGCACUUAGCAUUCUAGAGUUUUUCGUAGUUUGUCUCUUACGGUAUAGUAUUUUUCCUGUGUUACAGAGGAGGAAACUUGAGCGGCUCCUUGCCCAUGGUCUCAGAGCUAGUAACCCAGGCCUUCAAAACCUGAGUCUGCUGCUCCACUAUGUCUUCAGGUCGUCUCUCUGACAUCUUCUUCAGCAAGCCACUAGAAUUUUACCAUAUCUUAGAAGAUGUGUAAGAUGUCAGAUCACUUUCUGAUGAGCAGCUGCUAUGUGCCAGUCGCUUUGGAUGCAUAAUUCCAAAUUCUUAUGGCAACUCUGCACAAAUAAGAUACUUUCAUCCUCAUUUUUCAGACAAAGAAACUGAAGCCCAAAGUGAUGAAGCACAUUCCUCUGGGUACAUGGCUAGCAAUUGGCGGAGCUGGGGUCUCUGGCUCUAAACCCCAGUUCUUUUGUUCUGCAGUGGGCCAUGUCUUCCUGGACAGCUACCUUCAACCCAAAAAGUCUUGGGUUCCUCACUCGUCCCUGGAGCUCAGAGCCAGGGGACCUGGUGAAGGAAAAUAUUUGGCUAUAUGUUCUUUUGUCAUCGCAGUUCUCCGUUGCUUUUCUUAAGUCACAAAACAUUUACCUGCUUUGGUGACAGGACCCAGAGAGUAUAAUUAGACCUCUUCUAAUAUUUGCUUUGGGUGUUUCAUAUGUUUUCUUAAUAGGCAGAGAGGAUUUCUUUAAUCUGCCUGCAACAUGUGUAAUAAACUCUUCAGUCAUAAUGAUAAUAGAUCACAUGUGUAUAACGCUUUAACAUUUACAGAAGGCUGUCCCGUACGUUAUCUCAGAUAUCCUUAAAGAAUGCUGUGAUAUAGGCAGGGAUUAUUACUAUUAGUUCAUUUUACAGAUUUUUGAAAAGAGGCCCAGAGAAUUUAAUACUUUCCCAUGUCAGUGGAGACUAGAACUCAUGUCUCCUGAAUCCUUAAUCUAGUGUCUUUGGCCUCCUAUCGUUUUUCCCAAAACAUAACUAAAAAUGUGGCAUCUCCAAUUUCCCUUUUUCAGCUUACCUGCUUAAAAUAGGCUGUCAGUUUCCUUCUGGCAUCCAGUACCCUGGACAAAUGUAGUAUGAAAUUAAAUGGCCACAUUUUACUCACUCAGGGAAGGACGGAGCUAACAGAAGAGGAAAGCUGUCGGUUAUAUUUGACUGAGGGAUACUCACUCCCCUCUUCCCCCCACCCUCCUCUCCCUGUAUCCAUCCAUCCUCUGCCUUUCUGGGGAGCUCAUGACCCCCGUUUUCAAAGAGUUUGGUUGCAGUCCUGGGCCAGGAGGAAGCACAUGAGCAAAAACAGUGGUUGUAAGUGGCUGAUGACCCCCAACAAAAGGCUAUUUGGCCUCGGGUGUGGGAGGCUUGGGCCAGGAAGCCCUUUGCUCCUGGCACCAUCUGGAUAGCCCUGUGGACUACUAGGCUCCCUAUGCUUUCAGGAAACCUUUCUCUGCUGAGUGUCACUAGGUUAGCGUUUGGGCCUUGUUAUCAGGAAUUCUUCAUACUGGAGCCAGCAAAUUGUCCCUGUGGCUACCCCGGACUAUGAGAACCAGUCUGGCUAGUAUUCCCCAUUCUGGCCCAGGCUUUGGCUGGAAGAGGAGAAAUGAUAGUAGCAAGAGCCCCUGGAGGGCUGGGUUUUUGCUCUUGCAGUCUGUACGACCUUAGGCACAUUAUUCUAUCUCUCUGGGCUUCAGCUGAAUUUCCUCAUCAGUAAAAUGUGGCUAGUAACACCAAUUCCCACUUAUUUCCUCUGGUGGUUUAUCAUGAGGCAAAAAUGAGCUCAUGUAUAAAGACACUUUGCUCAUUCUGAAGCCCACUCAAAUGCAAGGGACUCAUGCUGAGGGAAGGUGCUAGUAGUCUCUGGAAGAUGGUGUUGUAGGGGAGCUGCCAAACUGAGCAGUUCUUAAGAGUAGAAAGAAUUCUUUCCUCUCAUCAUUCCUGGUGAGGAUCAGUACUGCCUACUGGGGUUACGCCCAGCCCUCCAAGCCCUCUGCCAUCCUCUUAGGAAUGAGGUUGUAACUCAGUCACGACUUGGCUGGGACAUUUCUUCAGGCCUGAGGCUGGGCCAAGAACAUGGCCUCAACUGUGCCUCCCACUCUGCUUUCCUUUCUUCUCCCUCUCUGCAGCCUCCACUUUAUUUUAGACAAGUGAGUUGUGUUGGUUACUUUUCUAAGGAGGUUUUUCCAGCCUCUUUUUUUUUUUUUUUUUUUUUUGUCCUUGACCAUAAAGAACUCCCAGUUACUCAAAGCUGAAAAUAAAAUUUGGCCAGAAGUAAGCUGAGAGUAUAGUCUCAUUAUUGGUGUUGAUAUUUUUAAGUCUCUCUUUAAAAAAAAAAAAGGGGGGGGCUCUGGGAGAAAAGGGAGAUUUGUCAUGGAAUGAAUAUCUGUUUGAGUACCCUAGAGUGAGGACUUUACAUCUUUUCCUGAAAACAAGGCGCCUUCCUUCUUUUCAGGGAGAGUUGUGGCUAUUUUGAUGCCUUUUGAAAGCACCACAAUUAAUUUGAUUGAGCUGCUAAGCAGUUGAUUUUAAAAAAAGAAAAAGGAGAAGAAAAAGGAUAAUGGUCACAUGGACUUAGCAUCACAUGGGGAAAUUCGCUGUAACCCAGCAGUCUUUUAGACAGCUGAUGACCACGGGCCAGAUUGUUCAUUUCACAAAAGAGAGUCUUUUAAAGAUGAGAAGACUUUUGUCUAGAGCCUGAACUUCCCCAGGGGAAAGGACUCAUUUAUAACCCAUUCUGAUUAUAUUUUUCCUCCUAAAUCUCACUGGUUAAAUAUGAAUAUAUGUGGAACACUCAGCUACGCCAUGGAAAUAAGUAAUGCAGUAAGAGAUCAGCUAACAGGGAGUUCUGGUUCUGGGUUCUGGUCUCUGCUCUGACCUCCCAAGGAGCUGUGGACUCACUAAGUCCACACUGAGGCCACUGAGUGGCCCUGAGAUGCCUUUGGCUUUCUGCUCUGUAAAAUGAAGCAAUAAAAUGAAUGCUUCAUACCUUGGAGGGUGGGCUUGGAAGGGAAAAAAUAGUUGAUUAUGUAAAAUAUAAUGUAAAAAAGUUAAUAAUGUAAAAAGUACUUGAAGAAAUAUCUUAGAUGUUCUCAAAAUUAUAUGCUUGAAGGUAUGGAGGGGAGGUGAAUUUGGGGAGGGUGUUGGUGACCAAGGUCCCCAGUUCUGUCCUCCACAUAGCAUCUCAGUCAGAAGGUGGGUCUGUGUUUCCUUAGUAGACCCCACUUCCCUCCAAGGAUUCAGAGUCUAUUCAUCACUACGGUGCACAAUCCCCAGGAUUGUGCUGUCUGCUGUACUCUGCUGCUCAUAAGCUAUCCAACAGAAGCAGGCAGCCCUCACUUAUCCUUUGGCCCCUUGGUCCCUGUGUGGGUUUGUUGGCCCUUUGUUUCCCCUCUUUCCCAGACUACCUUUUCCCUUCUCGUGUGCACACUCCUCCUAGAGAAAAAUGAUAACUCACUGUCAAAGCUGGGUUUGGAGACGAGACUAGAACUGCUAGUGUCCGCAAAGUGUUUGGGGUCUUUUCAUCAUGUACACCUUAGUUUUCAACGGGAAUCCUAGUUCUUCUUCAGCGAGGGCCUCCUUCCUCUGUGUUCCCAGGGCUUCUACAUACACCUCUGGAGGAGCACUUAGCACACAGGGCGUCCUGUGGUCUCUCUUCCUAUGGGAGGGGAUCUCUCCCAUAGGGUCUCUCUCCCCCUCCUUUCUGCAUCUGCGUGUCCCCAGGACCUGACACAGGCUAAGCACUCAGUAAAUGUUUCCAUCAAUGAAUGAAUGAAUUAGAGGUGAAAAGGACCCAGAGUACCUCCUUCAUUGCACACGUUGAGGAAACCAAAGCCCACAGCUGCUAUGUGUAUUGAUCAUGCAGAGAAAACUAGAACCAAGAUUAAAUAUACUUUUAGAAUAAGUAUAUAUUUAAAUAAUCUCAGUUCUAGAAUACCCUGCCUCUGGUAUCCAAUCUACGGCUAAAUCCUGACUGAGUGUUGACUGGGUGUUAAAAAGCAAACUUACGUAUCCUGGAAAGGAAGGCAGUACCAGAUGGUAAGGCAAGAGCCGGGCUUAGAGUCAGCAGCCUGGCUGCCCACCCUGCCAGUGACUGGCUGCAUGACCUUGGCUAAGUCAUUUCCUCUCCCUCAUCUCAUUUGCCUGGGUUAUAAAAUAAGGGUUUAGCUGAGAUGAUCUCUAAGUCUCUCCGUAUUCCAGAAGUCUGAUGUUCUAAGAACGGCAUGAGUUGUUAGAAGUUUGAGCUUGUUGAGCAGAAAUAACAAAACACAUAAAAAUAAGUUACAGAAUUACUGCAAAGGAGGUCUUUUGUUAAAAAUUCUUAUCUUAAAGCCCCUUUCCACCAGGGUCCCAUCGUGAGCACUUUGCCUAUGCCUUAGAAGUACGCAUCACAGUUAAGUUUCUGGUUGGAGGCUCUUGAACGUUUGACUCUGUGUCCACGGACCACAGCACAAGCCACAGGCUAUAGCACAGUCACAUUCAGGGCGUGGCAGAAUGCUGGUAUCUGGCCAGAGACCAUGGUAAGGAGCUCUCAGCCGUCCAAACAGCACCCUGACCUUUUCAUGUCUGUGGGGGCUGACUCUUAGCCUCCACCCCACCCCACCCCACACCCUGCCCUGCCCUGUCCUGCCUGGUUCUCAGGCCUCAGAGGGGUGGGAAGGGUGACCCUCUGCCCCAGGCACUGGGCACUACCCAGAAGGCGGGGAGCCGUUCCCGGGAAGACCUGCUCUCCCCGAGGGUUUUGCAGAGCAACAGAGUUACGCACCAGUUCAUUCUUGGUCAGUGGCAGGCACAUUUCACACUAAAUUCCACCCUGUGGGGCUGUGUCUAAUUGGACAAAUUUGAACAGCAGGCAGCAUAGUCACUGCAGCAAAGAACGUUGAUAUAUGGCCCAGGCAAGGGACUAAAUCCUUAAAGUGACAGGGUUUCUUUUUCAAAAAAUGACUGGCUAGAUUCCAGAAGCAACAGGCCUGACUAGCAAGAAAGAGAUGGGCCAGCUCUGCAAAGCAGGGGCUAAAAGAGCCCUCCUAAAAGAGGAGGUGUUUUUGAAAACAGCGUCUCCAUUUCUCCUGGUGUCUUUGGUAGUAUAAAGAGUACAAGGUGGUCCCUGGGGAUUGUCAUCUGGGAACCAGUCAUGCUGAGUGCUUCUCCCACCAAAAAACUCACAGCAUCUGAUAAAUCUGGUUAAAAUAUAGAGCAAGGAAACCCUGACAGCAAAAAAUUGAAAAACCAUGUUGCCAUACAUUACCAAGCACCCACCGUUCAUUACUUCAACAUCCAUCCAAUAUCUAUUAAAUGCUACUAUGUGCAUAUUAAAUGCACUUAGGCCUGGACAUGGUGGAGCAUGUGAAGUCUAUGGUCCAGGGAGGAAAAAACACAAAUCAAAUGACCUCACAAAUAAAUGUAAUUAUAAAUUGUGUGACGUAUAAUAAAGGAAAAAUCCCAUGUGGUAGAAGAGCAUAUAAAAGUGGCAUUUGAGGAGAGUUUCCAGGCGGGAAGUCACAUUUCAGCUAAGCCCUAAGGGGUGAGUUGAGGCAGCAAAGGAGGCAGGGGUGAGGAGGUGAGGGGAAUGGUUAAGGUGAAAGAGAGCCUGUGUGGCUGGCUCAGUGCCCAAAAGGGAGAACAGCAUGGGGUUGGGCCUUGCUGUUCACGUGAAGGAUCUCAGUCUUAUCCUAAAGGCAAUGGGAAAUGUGUUUGCAACAGAGAGUAGUAGGAUCAUAUUGGAGUUUUGGAAAGAUCGCUCUGGAAGCAGACUGUUACAGAAGUCCCAUAGGAGAUGAUGGCAUGGAUUGGACUGGUACCAAUAAUAGAAGUGGACAGGGGCACCUGGGUGGCUCAGUCGGUUACGCGUCCGACUCUUGGCUUUGGCUUAGGUUAUGAUCUCAUGGUUUCAUGAGUUUGAGCCCCGUGUCUGGCUUCAUGCUAACCAUGCAGCGACUGCUUGGGGUUCUCUGUCUCUCUCUCUCUGCCCCUUCCUCGCUCACACUGUCCCUAUCUCUCUCCACAUAAAUAAACUUAAAAAAAAAAAAGUAAUAGACAUGGCCAGACACAGGUGACAUUUAGGAGGUACAAUCAUCAGGACUUUGUGAUGGCAUCAGUACGGGAAGGCAAGAGGGAAGAGAUGGCAGGGAUGGUCCUCAGUUCCCUGACUUGUUUUACUCUUUUUAUUUCGUUCACUUAGUGUUGCCAGUCAUGUGGGGAAGGAGGCCCAUUGAGUUUCCAUGGAGAUGUCAAGACGUUGACUCCACAUCCUUAGAGUUGUAUCAGUGGGUCCUCACAGAAGAGAUGUUUGGGCUAGGCAUUUCCUCAGAGAAGGACAGGGAGAAGGAUGAAAAAAUGAUGGAACAGACACCUUGUCUCCCUUUUGGCAUCCCCAAAUGUAUUUGGAGAGGCAAUGGGACUACAGACUCCAGGAGACAUUUACAAAUGGAUAUAGUAAAUGAUGUAGCAAUGCGAUGUGGGUGUGUGAAGAGGUAGCUGACAGCCAGGUGUGCGGUGUGUAGAGGGAACAGGCAGAUAAUGAGGCAGAACUGCCCAAGGAACUCUCACAGAAGUGAUGGUCCGUGCACAGCAGGUUAACAGUGGUGGGAGUGUGGCAAGCCCCGUUGGCUUGUUUCACUCCAGGACAUCCUGUUCUCUGAAUCAGUUUCAGACAGGGUAUGAGAACUAGAGCUUCGGAAACCUCCUGAGGAGUGAGGGAGGGUUGGAAAGCAGCCUGAGGCCCCCACUUCCUUUUUUCUAGAGUGUACUUACUGCCCACUCUGGCAGAAAGAGAGGUUCCAAAUGAUAUAGCCCUUCUUACAUCCUACUCCUAGGAGUUAGGGAAAGUGAGAGGGGAAUGUCUUGUCAAGAAAACCAUGAACGAAGAACACACUUCAGUUCCACUUCUGUCAUUUCCGUCUGCUGUGGGCUCCUCAGUGUGUACUCAACACACAGCAGGUGUACAGCUUGUACUAAUUGGCCAAAAGUGACUACCCUUCUGAGCUCUCAGCUCAUCGCUGGUGCUGACAAGAGUUUUAUCUGCCCAUAAUUGAACCCAUGACGGGUUUGGGUGGUGUACUUUUUUUGGUUUGUACCAAACCAGCCUUUUCCAUGUACCCUCCUAUGCUGGUCUGUUUCUUUUGCAUGUUGGGCUAAUCUUCUCCAUAUGUGUGUCUGGUUUGGCAUGUGCAUCCCGACCUCCCAUGAGUAGGGUGAGGCUGCCUCAGUCAAGUUCAGAGAGUUGCUGCCCAGCCUGCCAGGCUCUGGAGUGAGGCCAUUGGCUGGCUCUCUGAAGAGCAUAGCCCCCUUUAGGCCUUUAGGCUCUGUGGAGAGGCACCCAGAUGGGCUUCUUGUUGGGGUUCAGUGAGGCAUGAGAAGAAGGCAUUCUUUGAACAACUACUGCCUGGUGACCCACUUGGAACAGAGUCUCACUAGGACAGUGGGCCUAAGCCAAGCAGCACGUGGCUCUCAGGUAAGGAAUGCUCUAGGCCUUGAACUUCUUGCUCUGACUACCAACAUCCUCUCUUCCCCUCCCUUCACCAUUCUAGAGGUAAACUUCCUUUCCCGGCAGAAUGUAGCCCUUGCUCACCGUGUUUAUGAGAGCAAAUAGACUGAUUGAUAGGGUUUAUAGCUACAGAUUGAAAGGCGGGGGAACAACGUGACGGCAGAAAAAGACACCUCAUGUGAAGAGUAUGUUAUAAUUUUACAAAGUUUUUUUCAAAUUCUUAACUUUCAUUAAUCCCCACAACCACCUCGUGAAGUAGCAAGUAUUCUUCUCAAGGCUCGGAGAAGCUAUGUUGCCAGUAAGAGGCAGAGAGCGAGCCAAGACUAUAUCCUGGCUUCCUGACUCCAAGUUCAGUGCUCUUUCUAAAGCACUGCACUCCCCAAACUUCUAUCUCUGCAGCCUCACGCCUCUUCAAGCCCUUUCCCAUAGACCCCAUGAGGGUGCCUUUUCAGGCUCUUCUUGUCUCCCUUGUGCCACCUCACACCUGUCUCUGGACCUCAGUUGGUGUAUGGGUCAGGGGGCGGCCUGUGUGAGCAUAAGAAUGAAAUCUCUGUGAGGGGAACAAGUGAGUUACUGCACAGGGAGCAGCUGGCCCCUCAGACUCCGACAGCCACUGCCAUAAUGGCUGCUGCUCUUGGAAAAGCUCCAUCUUCAGAGGCGUUUGUGCCCAGCCACUAAUCUCCACCUGUAAUCUUCAGAGAGCACCAGUUCCCAUCAUGCAAUAGUUGUCCCUGACCUCACGCCAGGCCCAGGACAAAAUGGAGGCAUUUUGUGAGACAGAUGGGCCUCUGCCUCAUCAUCACCAGUAGCAUACCUUCCUAUCGGCCCACUCCCUGCUGCCCCAGCCCUGGCCAAUCCUGAGCAUACCAUACAGUUGUGCCAGCCCGUCCUUCCUCCUGAGCACAAGAGCCCCUUUUUUGCCCACUAGAUUAGCUGUACAGCUUUAAGUUCCUGAAACUUUCUGGUCCUUUAUCUCCCUGAUUGAGAAAUGAGGUCAGAAUGCAUGUAUGCAUUCAUUAAUUUUUUCAUUUAUAUUCAUUCAACAUAUAAUUUGAUGGGUCCCCAAGAUUCAAAUUAUAGGACUCCAAGCCCUAGAGAUUCAGAAAGGUAAUCAGACACGAUCUCUCUGCCCCCCGCCCCCAGGUGUUCAUAAUCUAGCAGGGCAACAGAUGUAUAAACAGAUGAUCAUGGUACAGUAGGAGCGUCAACAAAGUACUUCCCAGCUCCUGUCAGAGCUAUCUGCAUUGAAGGCUAUUGAGGGAAAGAGAAUGUGGGGAUCAUUCUCUAGAAGUCACAGAGAGGGGUGAGCUGGAUGAUUUGGGGCAAGUGAUAUAACUUCUCUGAGCCUCAGUUUCCUUAUCUAUAAAAUGGGAUGACAAAGCCUACGAUACAGAGUUUCAUUGUAAGGAUAAUGCCCAAUGUAUUCAAGCAUCGAGUCAAUGCCUUGUACAUAAUGUCAUAGAUAGCAAAGAUGCCACAAAGAAUAUUGAAUUUUAGUUUCUGGAAAAAUAAGUGUCACAGGGACAACUCAUGACAGCAAGUAGUAUUAAUUAGUGCCCAGUAAACACCUGACCCACUUGUGGGACUUGGCCCAGCACCUGAGGCUGAAACCUCGGCUGCACUCUGGGAUUCCUGAGCAGAAGUUGGUGUCCGGUAGAAAGAACCAGAACCUGCCUCCAGUGCAGGAGCUCAGCCAAGAUUAGAGCUCUAAGGGCACCUGGCUGGUUCCAUCAGUAGAGCAUGUGACUCUUGAUCUCAGGGUCAUGAGUUCAAGCCCCACAUUGGGUGUAGAGAUUACAAAUUAAUUAAUUAAUUAACUAACUAUCUAACUAAAAAGAAGACAGUAAAAGAAUAAAGCUGUAAUGGCCCUGGCACUGUUGAAGAACAGACCAUGGAGGGCCUCCUCAGACACACCGCUGCCCUCUUGUAGAUGUGCAUCAUUUUCAGCCCAUUUCUUUUUCUCACCAGGUCCACAGAGGCAAACCUCCCUUUGGGAGGCCCCAUUUUAGUCCUUAAAAUCCUCAGGCCUGUGUGUGCUCUGUAAAUUCGGAACAGCAAAUUCCUCCCAGAGGUGGAGAGGAGCACAUUCCCUUCUGGCCUGGCACGCUGAGUCCUGCUGUCCGGGGCUGGUUAACAAUAUGCCCUCAGUCAAGGCACCUGACUUUUUGGAAAUACCUCUUCUUCAACCCUCUCACCCAAAACAGCUAUUUUUGCCCUACAUCCUUAACAUAGUAAGAAAUAAGCAGAGUAGACUCUGUUAUCUUUCGCCAUUUGACAGAUACUCUUUAGUCUCUUCUCUGAAUCCCACAAUGUGAGAAAUGCAAAGAUGCAAGGUGUAGGGAUUGUCUGAGCAGCCACGUCCUUACCAACAGUUAUUUUUGUCAAUUCAUUAAUGUUGACACAGUGAAGGGAGUCUAAUUAAAUGACUGUUUGCCUUCUGGGCCUCAAUGUCUUCACCUGGAAAAUGGGCCGGGGGGGUGGGGAACAGAUGGUAAUAAUACCUCACAAAGCUCUUGUUAAGGAUUAAACAGUGUACCUAGAUGAGCACCUUUGCAUAUACUAGGUACUUGGUAGUUCUCAGUACUUGGUAGUUUUCAUUCAUUGCCCCCUUAGCUACCAGACAUUUACUGGGGACCUCCUGUGGACUAGACACUCCGGUGGACCCUGGGGAUACCACAGUGAGAAACCCAAGCAGUCAGGAAGCUAUCCACCCAGUCUGUGAGGGAAAACCGACAUUAAACAAAUAAUUGCCUUGGGAAUUCAUGGCCCUUCACAGUGCUUGGAAAAAAGGGAGAAAAAGCAACUUUGGGCUGUUUUGUCUUCCCAGAAGCCCACAAACUCCAGUCUGGACAGAGUCUGGAGACUCUGGACACUCUGGCUGGAGAGUGAGCACCCGAAAGGUCACCACCUAGCCUGGCAGCUGUGGUGGUCAACCAGCUUGACAACUGUCUUCCGACCCCACCCCAGAAGGCUGCCCAGACUCCUGCUUCAGAGAGCCCACUCUGCAGGCCUCCUGUCUGUGUUCUGCUCAGAUGCAAGGCUUGUCAACUCUGCUGAUGUGAGCGAAGCUCCAGAGGCCCUGCCCCAACGGUGCUGCUCUGGAUCAAGGCCUUACUAGACUCCCAGCUCCCUGGUUUGCAAAGCAAACUUCAGCCUUGUACUAUUUACCUUGGCAAGUCCACGACCAGAUUGAUGAUCUGUAAAGUGGAUUUGUUAUUUGGCUGUUUGCUUUGGCAGCUCUUGAAAGCGCUUUGCUGAUUACAGUCCCAGAUGUCAUUGCAUACAUUACCCUGCUCUAUAACGGGGCUUUGAACACUUUAAUUUGAACUACAAAUACUAUUAAGCUUUUUGCACCUCUUCUGCCUUUAGUUCUCGGAUAUUAAAUAUCAGAACAGACAGCCUGCAUUUCCGUAGGCUUCUCUCCCAUUGUCUUGGUCAGCCUCCUCCCAUAGAAAGCUUCCGGCUUUCCUCCCAUUCUCUGUGGGUCUUUCUAGAAACCUUACCCACCUAUGCCCACCCCCAACCCAGCUUCCCUGGCGGCAGCCGUGCCAAUUUUUCCCUAACAGAUAAUCUGGCUUUCCAGUUUGGAGGUGCACAGUGUGUGUUCCAAGUCUGGCUUCCCCACACUUCCAGGCCUGAGUCCUUUGCACUAUUGCUGUUUAACUCACCCACAAGGAGUUUUCUCUAUCCAUUUUUUGUUUUAAUGCUACCAACAGCAUUCUUUUGAGGAAGGUAGAUUUGGGGCAUGAAUAUGUCAUGUCACUUUGCCCAUAGAGGACAGACAUCUCACCAAAACAAAAGCUCAACAUCACACAGAAAAGGCAGCUGCAGAACCAAAAAUAACUUUACACUUUCCCAACUCAAAGCUCGACUCAGGCUCCCUUUCUCAUACUUUGUUGAAAAUCCCCUCAUGAGUAGGGAGGAGAGGGGUGGCAGUGUCUUUAAACCGGGGCAGUCACUGGUUCAUAUAUCUUUGGAGAUUAUUGGUAGAGAGUGCGGUGUUCCUGGCUAAUGGUGGGGUAUAUGACUCCACAUUCUCCAAGGUAAUUGCUUCUUCCUGUUGUAAAUAAACCAUUAGCUGGGUCCUCGCCUCAGGAAGCAAUUCAAGGCCCAAGGGAGGUAGCCAAAGAAGUCAGCUCGCAGCCUCCUGGUUGGAAGGCUCAGCCUCGCCCAGCACCCUCAGCCCCAGGUCUUCCCCUUGGAGUGAGAAAAUACUCCUGCCAUCAUCCUGCCAAGCUCCCGACAGGCUGCCCUUGGCCUUUGAUUUGCCAAACUCCAUGUGAACUGCCUCUGUUUUUGUUACUCCCCAAAACACACACACACACGCACGCACACACACAAAACCACUAUUUCUAAUCCACCUAAACUGAAUACCGGUGGGAUUUUUUUUUGCUCGUGUUAUUUUUUCCUUUUUCUUGUUUGCUCUCCCUCCUUAAAGUUCAUUUUCUGUCCAUUCCCUCUCCUCUGGCCUUAAAUAUCCACAAGGUUCUUAGCUGAAGCCUUUCAGCAUUUCACAGGACUUUAGAGAUGGAAAAAGUCUCCUUAAUAUCAGCGAUUGGUGGAGCACCUAUGUGUAUUUCUGUUCAUUCUUAUACUAAACCUACAAGGAAGACAGUUCCAUCCCCAUUUUAAUAGUGAGGAAACCGAGGCUCCAUGAGGGCCUUGUUCCAUGUCACACGUGUAUGGCACAACUAAGAAUGAAGCAACCAGAUUUGUGUAACUCCAAGGCUUGCACUCUCCACUGGGUGGCCUCUCCCUGCUACCUAUAUCCUAUCCCUCCUUCUAUGCAAGGUCCAAGUUCUAACUUAGGAACUACAGUAUCCCUUCUGUGUUGUAAGCACCUCAAAGGCAGGUUAAAUGUCAUGCUUAAUUUUGUUUCCUGGUGACUGGUGCUGGACCUGGCUUGUACUAGGUGCCCAAUAAAUAUUUGUUGGAUGAACAACCAUAAGUCCACUGAAGUGGUUCUGCUUUUAAGCAACCGUGGCUUCCCUGUGGCCAGUCUCUACAUCAAGGAGGGAGGGCCUUCAGCUUUGAAAUAUUUCAGUUAAAGAACUUAAUUCACUUUGGGAGUUUACUUUAGGAAUAGAGAUUAUUGCAGUGUUUUUGGCCACCACUCUCAAAUUCUUCUAAACCUUUACUAUAAUAAGCAAAUUGAGCAGAUUAAGGACAUACUUAACUGCCAAAUGGUGUUCUGAACUGUGUAAAGUUACCCAGGGUGGCUUUUUCCCCCCUAUAUAAAAGUUUGUGUGGGUUCUGUGAACUUCCCUGCUUUUUUUAGCUCUUCCUGUUUUAUUGUGUUUGAAGUAUCUUUGUAGUGACCUGUUGGGAUAGGGUUCUUCCAUAUGGAAGUGUUUCUUUAACUUUUUAAUCAUUUCUUUUGGGAAGUGGAGGGUUAGGGGUAGCAGAUGUUUUUCUGGCAUUGUUUGCUAAGUGGAGGUAGGAGCUUUUGGAGCUAUGAGUCAGGCUACACCCCGCCUGAAAGGAGAAGGUUCCAGAUUCCAGCACCACUGGAUCUGGAAAAAGCAGCCUAUGUGGGAAUAGACCCUUUUGCCCUCACCCUGACUAAUGCCUUUCCCAUUUCCCGGGAAGAAUACGUGUUCCCUUGUGACACUGAGACAAGUUAUUUAUUUUUUUCAGUGUCCCAUGGUAAAUCCUUAUCAGUCCUCAAAUGGGAAGCCAGUCUGGUGCCCUUACCAAAAAAGAAAGGAAAAAUAACAAAUUAAAUGAACCCUUGUUUCUGUCCUUCAUGGCAGUCACGUCCCUCUUCAUACCCGUUCUCAUUGAGCCAAAGUUUAACAUCUUGGUUUAAAAAAAAAAAAAAGUGGCAAAAAGCCAUUGAAUUGUCCCAUUUCCUCAUGUUAUUUUAGACUUUAUUAUUCAGUCAGUCUAUUCAAGAGGCAACCUGUGGGCUCCUUGGAAGGUUGUUCUGUGGAACCUGCAGAAGCUGAUAGUUGGCCAUCAUGUUCCACAGCCGGCAGUUGGCCCUUGUCCUUGGUCUGCUUUAGGGCCUCACUUCCAGAAUCCACUUCUUCAUUCCCAGGUUACACCUCAAAAGCCAGUGAAGAAAAGGUUUUGGUUCAGUGAGUAGAUUCCCCAGGCACUGGCUCACUUGAGACCCAGGUGAUAAGGAAGCUGGGGACGAGGAACCUGAAGGAACACAAACUAGGACUUCCCUGGGCACUCUGAUCCUUUCUUGGCAAGACCAAGGCUUUGCUUGCUAACUUGGGAGUCUCGACAUUUGGAGGCUAAGAAGAUGUGGAAGAGUCCACGAGAGGGACCAAGAGCUAGAAAGCAGUUAGAAAGACGAGAGGAAACCAGGUGCAUGUGGCAUCCUGGAAGCCAAGUGACUUGAUCUGCUGACAGGUUGGGUCAGAUGACUGAGAAAUGGCCAUGGGAUUUAGUAAUAUGGAGGCCAUUAACUUUGGAAGAGCAGUUUCAGUGGAGAGGUGGGGGCAACACCAUGAUUGGUUUCGUAGAGAGGAAGGAAAUUAUAGACAGCAAGUCCAGACAUCUCUUUUAAAGAACUUUACGGGAAAGAGAGAAAUGGGACAGUAGCUCAAGAAGGAAGUGGGGGUCAAGACAUUCUUUCUUUUAAUAGAGGAAAUACUGGCAUAAUGGUGACAAGAGGAGAUGGGCUCUAGUGCAUGGGUGGAUGGACUGGACUUGGUGGGAAGACAGAGGGUAUAUAUACUCAGAUGCAGGUGGGUGGGUAGGUGCAGCGCCAGGACUUUAAAUCUCCUUCUGAUUGCUUCAGCUUUCUUUAUGAAGCAGUAAUUAAAAUCCUCAGCUGAACAUGGGAAUGGUGGAGAAGGUAUGGGAAGUCACUGGCCAGGAGAGCGAGAGAGCAAAUGGACUGAGGAAAUGUGAUCAGAAGGCAGCAUUAAAAGCCCAUUUGCAGUUAGUGAUCAUAAAUUUAAAGUAAGACCGGUUAGCAUGGUGUGCUUUUUUCCUCAGCUGCAAGUAACUGCAUGGGGACAGUGAGUGGGCAGACUAACAAGGUUUUGAUUUCACCAGGUGAGUAGAGCAAAAGGAGAGGGGGUAUGGAAGUUGAGGAUAUAUAUGAGGGAUUGAGUGUAACAAUUGCAUAUGGUGGGAGGAGAAGGACCCAAGGCAGGCAGGAUCAAUGGGUAAGAGACCUUGGUGGGGUCGGAGGCUUGUCGGGAGUUGUGGUACUAGAAAGAUAGGAGGUGGGGAGAUAAUUUGGUAAUUGACGUUGUGGCAGUGUUUGCCAUUGUUGUUCAUUAUAUCAAAGGAAUGGCCAUUGCAGUGAGUGGCAGAGGCAAAGGAGGUGAGUGCCAGAAGUCAGGAGGUCCCGGAAUUAAGAGGCCAGGUAAUUGGAAGGAUCGUCUAUAUGACUUAUGACAGAAAUCAGGACCUAAACUCUUAAAGGAGUAAGGGGUGUGAUGGGGGAUGAGGGGUGGGGUGCUGGACAAGGAGAGGCCAGAGGCAGUACAGUCUUAUCCCACCAGAGUCAAAGCUGUGGGUUUUAUGAAAAAAAGAAGAGAAGUCUGCAUCAGUGAGGAGCUAAAAGGAAUGGAGGAGAGAAAUCAGCCACAGGGGAGGACUACUGGGCAGACAGGGUCCUCAGAAAAAAUCCUUGUAAUUUUCAAAGUGCAGCACUUUAGAGAGGAAGUAUAUAUACACUUCCUGUUUUAUUUGAGUCUUUCAACAACCUUCCAGUAGGCCUCCAUAGAACCCAUGAAAGCAUACUUAAUCCAAAGUCACAAGUGUUGUAAUGCUGCCUCCAUAGCGUAAGAUUCAGCACCCAAAGUCAGGCUGGCCUAUUCUCAGCCCUCUCGGAUCCACUGUUCUCUGUGACAUCCAAAAUAUCUUACACUUAGCAGCCAGUAAUGGGACAUAAGUGGACAUUUCCUUUCAGGAAUAAUUGGGAUAACAAUUCCUAAAUGGAAAUAAUAUGGCAUUUUAGUUUUAAGGAAUUUAGGUGUCUAAGAACAUGCCUAAGCCGUGGUGGUUCAGGACUUGGUUCUUAAGAAUUUUUCCUUCCUGGGACACCUGGGUGGCUCAGUUGGUUAAGCAUCCGACUUGGGCUCAGGUCAUGAUCUCACAGUUUGUGAGUUCAAGGCCCACGUUGGGCUCUGUGCUGACAGCUCAGAGCCUGGAGCCUGCUUCAAAUUCUGUGUCUCUGUCUCUCUCUCUCUGCCUCUCCCCCGCCUCUCAAAAAUAAAAAUAAACAUUAAAAAAAAAAAAAAGAAUGUAUCCUUGAUUCUCAGGCUCAGUGAGUGGGCAAUAGGGCAGUGUGGGAAUCUCCCAACUGCUGGGUGACCCCAUCCCUCCAACUUCCUUGAGCCACCCACUCUCAUAGGCAGAGAGCCCACACCCAAACAAAUGUGAUCUCAGUUGUUCAUUCAGUUAGCAAGCGCGUGUUGAUCACCUGUUGCAGUUUUGAGUGUCCAGAGAUGAGCACUACCCUAAAGAAAUAAGUGCAGCAAAUGGUUACAGGUUUCUCUCCACGCACUGCAUAAAGAGAUUUCCUCGUAAAGGAAGGGGAGAAUAUUCCUGCAUGCUCCAAGAAAGUAACCUCUUCUUAGCCACCUCAUCCUAGUUUCCCAGCUUGCCAGACCACUGAGGUGGGUCGAUUCAUGGAGGGUAUGCAUCAAAUGCCUCCAUCAGCCCUCUCAGCCAUGUUCCUUUGUGAGCACGUUGGCCAAGGCCCAGGCGGACACACUGACCUAGAUGGGAACAGAGAUCUAUCUGGUCAUGGCUUACAGCAACCGGGAGUGCCUCCGAGCUACCUGGGAAUGCAGAUGCCCAGGCCCCAAUCUUAGGCCCUAGAAAUUCUGAUUAUGAUAUGGGGUGAGACCUGUACCUCCAUAUAUUUGGAAACCCCCCUAGUUGAUUCUGAUGUGGAGCCCCAGUUGAGAAGUACUGGUCGAGGAAGCAUAUGUAGAAGUUUGUGCCAAACGACUGGAUGGCCAAAUAUGCAACAUCCCACUGCCAAUCCUCUACCAGAUCUGAGUGUGAUCAAAUAUUUCUCCUGCCAGUUCCCUUCUCAAUAUUAUCCUCCAGGAACUUGUGAUUAUCCUCAGCCUAAGUCCAAAGCAGCUUAAUUCUUCUGAAAACAGUGCCAGUUGGGCAUUUUGCCUGGAAGGAGCAAAGCAAAUCUGUGGCAGUGUUCUUUGCUUAGUUCAGUCCUGCAGCCUCCACGGGGCACCCUCUACCACCGCCCCCAGAUUUCUCUUCCUGCCACAAGGUCUAGUGCAUUGUUAGGUACCUGCUUGGGGAGGUCAGCUCAUUCCAGCAGGAACUGAGGGCCUCGCUGGAUGCAGGCUUGGGUAUAGUUGGCCAGAUAAAAUCUGGUUGGCAAGAAGGUCCUGGGCGGGCUGAGGUGAAUGUCCAUAAUAAGAUCAGAGAGCAGGAGACUAGGGCCAGCAGCCUGGACAGCAGGCUGAAGGUGCAGGCCAGAGCAGCACAAAGCACUGAAACUGAGUCUGAGAGUCUCACUGGAGCCCGUGAGGAGUUGGAACACAUGAGCUCUUGUUACGUACAGGAACCUGAGUUCACCUGCCUACAUCAUUCUUUGUCAUUAAGUCCCCUUGGUCUUCAAGGGCCAACUCCUACCAGUUGCUUCUACUUUAUCAGAGGCAUGGGCCUCUUCAUGCAUGACCUUGUGCUGAAAUUUGGGGCUAUUGCAUCGUGAAACCUGCAAUAGUUGAUUCUGGGUCUUCUUCUAGAGACUGGUUCCCUCUCAGGCCCGGCUUCAUCCUCACCAGGACUUUCUUCCCUCUGUGAACUGAUACUGGUGUUCUGUCCACAUCUAAAACCCUUGAUUUUCUGGGAUCAGUAUAGAGAUAUUAGAGAAAGUGGGUCCUAAGUCUUGAGGAUACCGUAGAGAACAAGACAGGUGAUACUUCUGCCUUUGUGGGGCUUCUAUUCUAGAAGAGGAAGCAGAUACACCAGCAAUACUUACGGAGUGUACUAUGAUGAGGGAGGUUCAGGAGGCUUUGCUGUUGGAGCGCAUAGCAGGGGCACCUGGCCUAAUCUAGGGGAGAGUCAGGAAAGGUGCCCCAGAAGUUCUGUUUAAGCUGCCAUCAAGGGAAGAGCAAGAUGAAGAUAUAAAGGCCAGAGGUGAAAGGGAGCACAGUCCACCGGAGGAACGGAAAGAGGUUUCUUAUGUUUAAUGCAAAGGACAGGGAGGGAGCGGGAGAGGCAAGUCUGGAUGAGUGAGCAGAGAUCAGGUCAUCAAGAGGCUUGGCAACCAUGGCAAGGAGUUGAGGCAUCAUUCUAGCACCUUUCUGCCACUUUGGACAGGUGUUUUCGGAGUCCUGGGAUCACUCUGAAAUAGAUCCACAUAUUCGUGCAGGUGCACAGCGCACAUCUGACAGGAACACUGACUGCCCUGUCCCUUCUCGUUUGGAGGCAGUACAGGGUAAUCCGGAUUAUAAACCACCCGCCUGGGGCAGGAGCUCACUCGCCUGCUGUAAUCAUCUUUUUCUUCCACCUUAGGAUGCCACUCAGCCUCACACAGCACCAGCUAUCUGAUGAAGAAUAGAAGUGACAAGGGCAAAAUCAAAAACCCUCCAGAACGUAUUCAGUGGGAAACUAAAGGCGGGAAGAGCGUUCCUCGUGUUCCCAGCCGACACCCCUCUCGCCUGCUUUCUCUUACCAGAGGAGUCUCCGCUUCCAGUAUGCCUGACUGGCUGGCUGGCUGAUUCUUCAGGGGCCGCGGUUUGUGCUUGUCACCCCUACACUGGUCGCUUUUAAGAUGCACAGACUUCUGAAUCUUUAAAAGAAAGAACUAAAAAGGAAAUCCCAAAGGCAGUUAGUUGACAGGUCAUCUAUUGAGAAUGAGGGAGAAAGUUGUGACAGGUUUAGGGAGUUUGAGAAGAGGAAGAAAUACAGGAGGGAACUGACCAAGAACAAAUGGAAAAAAAAAAAGGUUGAGGAGCAGGGAGGGCCUGGCUGGUAAAUUUGUCGUGGGACCAGUGGAUGCAAGUGCAAGAUUUUCUCCAGCACAGCCCAGGAGCCCAGGAGUAGUUGCAGAGGAGUCCAGUGGCUAGAUGGAUCAUCUUGGAUGCAUGUGGAAAAGCAGGUGGGAGGCAGAUAGACCAGGGGAGCAGUGACAGGGGAGUUGUUGAGGGUGCGCGUGGACCUGUAAGCCUGAAAUCUGGGAUGGACAGUGAAGAAGUUUCACUAGGAAGGAAUGAGUAGAUUGGGACAAUAGAGAAGGGCUCCAGGGGCUAGCCGGCUCAACGAGGUGGGAGAGCAUCAUCAGGAAGAAUAAAGUCAGGGAGAUAGACAAAUAGGAAGUUUCAUGGUCAAGAUGGGGGAUUUCUUGCUUAAAAUACUAGGAGAGGCAGUUGCAAGAUCCAGGUGAGUGAGCUGCUGGAAUGAAGGGGAAGUCAUUGGCGUGUGAGGUCACUGAAUUGUGAGGCCAGGAGUGUUGCUUUGGUCACACACCUGAGCAUCACACUUUCUCAGCAUUUGGCUGGAGCUGUUGUUGGGACAGUGACAGUGGUGUAGUGCCGUAGUCCUCUUUGAAUUCAAGGAAUUGACUUAGAAGGUCUGCAGAGUCCAGUGAAAAGGACAAGGGGCACUGUUGUAAACAGUUCCCGGGAGUGUUGCGCUUCUCUCCUGAUUGAUAAAAUAAUUCCUUUGGAAAAGGUGAUGUAAUUCACAAAGAACAUUUGUAUUCCCUUGGAGAAGAAAGUACUUCCUUUUAUUGCCAGCUCAUUUCAACAUGAUUGAAAAAUCAGGGAGAAAACUUUUUUUUGAAGUUUAAGCCUGGAAGAAUUACACUGUAUGAGACAUCUAAAAUGCUGGCCCCAGGGUCCAGCUCCAUGGCCUAGUGCAAAGUCUCUUUGUACCUCAGCGUCUUUGUGAAACAGAAGAACUUCACCAGGUCAUGAUGAGGACCAGCAGGCUGGUAGUACAUGGAAAUAUUUCCUGUGUGCCAGACACUGUGCUGAGCACAUUUGUUUCAGCCUUAAUAUUUUUUAUUAGUCGCAUUUUAAAGAGGUGUACAUUGAAACAGGAGAGUUAACUAAUUUGCCCAACAUAUGCAACUAUUAAGUGACAGAAUAAAAGCCCAAAAGCCUGAGCCUUUAGCCAUCUCCUGUACUGCAUGUUUAGGCUCUGUGAAUACAAAAAUUAGGCAAAACACGCACAGCACUAAGCUGAGAGGAAGACACGAGAACAGGUCGCCACAAUCACAUGUGCACCGCGUCAGAGGUUGCACAGAUUCUCUGGGGAUGUAGCAGAGGGACCAGUCCCUCCCCAGGGGACUCUAGGAAGGCUUCAUGAAGGAGCUCGAGCACGGGUUGGGUCUUGAAGUGGCUGCAGGAGACAGCUUGUCGUGUCAUUUGGUGCUGCUUCUCACGUUGGUCCGAAAUAUGCCAGCAUGUUGUCUUCUGUGUGUGUGUCCUGUUUUGCCUGUUGGGCCUCAAAAAAAAUAAAAAUAAAAAAUCGAUUCCCUUUUUCAUAAAAUUGUGCUGCAAAUAUUUGAGUACUGGAAUCCCAGCUCUCUUAAUCUCCAGGUUAGACAACCUCCGUUUCUUCCUUCCCUUCUUUCUUUCCUGCUAAGUGACAAGAACUGAGGCAAUAUGCUGUGCAUUUAGAAUACAGAGAUUUAGAAAAAAAAAAAAAAAAGCAGCAGAUGCUGCCCUCCAGGAACUUACAGUCAAGUGAGCAGGGUAGACCAGGAAAUACUUUAUUGUUCUCCUUUGCACUCUGUCCCCUUUACCAAAAUUCCCGGCACCCAAUAAGUGUCUGUUGUUGAAUUGCCUACACCAGGGUGCAAUGAAGAAGGUAAGCCAGGAUGCUGUGGGGGCCUUUUGGAAGACCUAAGUCAGACUGAGAAGAGUGGUUAACUUUCCCAGCUGACCUAGGUUUUCAAGGAUGAGUGGUACUUAGCAAGAGAAGAGCAUUCCAGGCAGAGGGAGACACAGAUGCAGGGACACAGGGGCAAAAUUCAAGGUGGGGCAUGGUGUGCGGGGAGUCUGGAGAGCUGGCCAGGACCUGAUGAGAGACGGUGGUACUAUGAAGAUUGGGCUUUGUCCUGAGGAUAGACAAGUAAAAUGUUCAGAUUUGCAUUGUAGAAAAGGUUACUCUGGUGGCACUAAGAAGAAUUAAAUGAAGGGAAGCUAUAUUAAGGGACAGAAAGACCAGUGUAAAGAUUGUUGGAAUAAUCCCAAUGGAAACUGAUGAGGGCCUAAACUCAGUGGCUGCGGAGUAGGGGACAGAUUGGAGAAGGCUUAGGAAGUAAAAUCCAUAGCACUUCCUGAGCAGUGGUCUGGAGGAAAGGGGGAAGUCUGGGUGGGCAGUCACUGAGAAGACAGUGCUGGCAUUCACUCGGGUAGAAAAUAGAGAAGUUUGAGAGAAGUAAGGCAGUGAAUCUGUUUUGGACAUACUGAGUUGAAGGUGCCUGUGGAGUGUAUUUGGUGUGUGACGUGGAUUUGGAGGCCAGGAGAGAACUGAGUCAGAAGUGCAGUUACGGGAGGCAGCGUGUCAGAGGUAGUCGUAACUACUGGGAGUGGAUGAGCUCGCCCAGGCAAAAUGUACAGAGGAAGAAGAGAAGAGGGUUGAGGGUAGAAGCCUUAGAAGCACUACAAUUUGAGGAGCAGAAGGAGCCAAGCUAGGCCCUGGGAGAGACUUGGGGGUGGUCAGAGAGGGAGAAGGAAAACCAAAGAAAGCUAAGGAAGGAUGGGGAGUCAUCAGCAAUUUGCCAGUACAGUCGGCUUUUCUUUGUAGCAUCUGAGUUGCCACAGGGGACAGUCCUGAGCUACCAGGAUGGAGGGAGGGCAGUCACAUGCUUUUGCCAUAAGGCUGGAUUUGAGGACCUGUUACUCUAGAGCAGUGGUUCCCCGAAUUCCCAGGUAAAAAUCGGACCCUAUCCCAGGACCACUACAUUGGAUUCUCUUGGAGAAGGGCCUGAGAAUCUGUUUAUUCGGUAAGCACACCGGGUGAUUCUUCUCAUUAGGAAAAUCUGGGAAUGAUGCUUUACACCAGAGGCUGUUCAGUAAUAACCUGACAGCAUUGGAGCACUUUCCAGUGACACAAAUCACACCCACCCUCCCACCCUACACACAGCCAGAUUCCACCUCAGGUUCCAGAGAAUCCCCGUAAUUUGAGCCAUUGUUUCUGUGGCAUUCCUCAGAUAUGUGAAGACGGAAGUGCUACCCCACUAAUCUAAAGGAGAGUUUCUGAGCAACUGUCUGAGUAUUCGGGAAUCCAAUCGAAAUCCUGCAUUUAGACAGAUAAUUGGUCCAGCGGUGCUUCUCUAAAGCAUUUAGACUAGAGCACCCUCACUGCCCUCUGGUGUAGACAGUCUGAUUGCCCACUCCAUUUUAUGGAAUAAUGGGCCUGAAUGUGAUCCAGCAUUAAAAAAAAAAAAAAAAAAAAAAAA